rnacentral:rRNA from 1 species
GUGAGGAAUAUUGCGCAAUGGGGGCAACCCUGACGCAGCGAUGCCGCGUGGGUGAAGAAGGCCUUCGGGUCGUAAAGCCCUGUCAGGCGGGAAGAAUAGCCCUUGGGUUAACAGCCGAGGGGUGUGACGGUACCGCCGAAGGAAGCACCGGCUAACUCCGUGCCAGCAGCCGCGGUAAGACGGAGGGUGCAAGCGUUAUUCGGAAUUAUUGGGCGUAAAGGGCGUGCAGGCGGCCGAUCAAGUCAGGGGUGAAAGCCCAGGGCUCAACCCUGGAAGUGCCUCUGAUACUGGUUGGCUUGAGUUCGGGAGAGGGAAGCGGAAUUCCGGGUGUAGAGGUGAAAUUCGUAGAUAUCCGGAGGAACACCGGUGGCGAAGGCGGCUUCCUGGACCGAAACUGACGCUGAGACGCGAAAGCGUGGGGAGCAAACAGGAUUAGAUACCCGAGUAGUCC